GUUUUGUCUUUUCUAGUUUGCCAUGGACCACAGUUCCUGUAGGUCUCCAGUUUUUUCAAAGUCCUGGCUACUCUGCUAGAGACACUCGUUUUGAUCCAGGAGGCAGGUGCCAGUGUUUGAACCCCCAAAGGGUAAAGGCUGGUGGGAACAAAGAUAAACAAGCAGUAGAGCUUCCAAGGUUAAAACCUGGAUACACGGCUACCCUGUUAGAGACUACAUAUCCCAGCCUCUCUUGCAGGCUGGUGCAGCAAUGGGACUAACUUAUGGCCAAUGGAAUGUGAGUGGAAGUGAUCUGUUUCAUCUCUGGGCCACAUUCUUAAAAGGAAGUUGCCUGCUCUCCACUACUCUUUCCCCUUGUGCAGACUGGACCAUGGACAUGGGAAUGGAAAUGGGGGCAUCUUUAAUGAUGCCGGCAAGGACAGCACCCUAAGGUUGGCCAAUCAACAAGACCUUAAGAACCUGAGUUUCACGAUGACCUAGAAGAGAAGAGCUCUGGACCACUGACACCUUGGUCUCUGUGACAAUAGCUGGACCAAGAGCCUUACUGAUAAACCUGAUCAGUUUCCUGGUUUCCAAGCCCACAGUAGAUAGGGAGCAGCAUAUUGGAAGGAGAAAGUUUUCAUAAAACUGAAAGCACAGUGAAAUUAGCAAAAACCUAGAGUGAGAGGAGAGAAAACGGCUGUAAAACAGAUUCAGAGUUUGGGGUUAUUUAGUUCAGGAUCAUGCCAAGAAGCCUUGGGGGCACUGUUGUAUUACAGGAUAAUGUUGGAAAUGGUCACACCAACAAUCUUGAAUCAUUAAGAGAAAGUUAAUUGUGACAGAAUAUUUUAUAUUGAAAGAAAAGCAAUUAUGUGAUAUAUUUAGAAAGUAUAUAUGAUAGAAAAUAGUUGACCUAAAACUUGCAUGCUUAAGGGUAGACACCUUCAGCAUCUAUUCAAAAUAAUACAUUUCCUGAUGGGCCAGAAAGUAGAGGCUUUGAUUCACUGAUAUUUGCCUUCUCCCCCACUAGGUAAUAAAUCCUUUUAAGAUCAGCUUGUAGGGACUUGCCUGGUGGUCCAGUGGCUAAGACUCCCAAGGCAGGGGCCAGGGUUCCAUCCCUGGUCAGGGAACUCGAUCCCACAUGCCACAACUAGGAGUUUGCAUCCCGCCAGUAAAGACCCUGUGCAAGUAAGAUACAGUGCAGCCACAUAAAUAAAUAUUUUUAAAAAAUCAGAUUGUAUCUCCUUUUCCUUUCUAUUCCUAGUAUCUGGCACAAUGAUGACUCAAAUAAAUAUUCCUUAAUUGCUAAGGGGGUGAAAUCUGUGUUACCUUAGAUUGCAGAGCUUAUUGGUUCCACGAGCUGAUGUGGACAAUUGAGCAGUGAAGUUGCCUGGGGUCCCAAAAUACCGUGAUGGAGAGCUUCAGGAGCACAGCCCUCUUAGCCAAGAGUGUUAAGAGCCCAUGUUGACCCUACUCCUGUUGUCUAGAAAUCAUUUCAUCAGAAACACUCUCUUGAACUCAGAAGGCCAAAAUGCUCAGGAUUUUCAUUACAGAACUGGUUGUAAUUCCAAAACCAAAUACAACUGAACACAGCCUACACAACAGGGCGUGGCCUUUCUGCACUGUCCAGAUUAGAUGUUCAGGAAAACUCAAAAUGGGAGGGAAAAAGUGGGAGGCCCGGGAAAGUUAGUCGGCGUGCUCACUGUUUGUUUCACAUCACUUCGACUCCUAAGAUUUUAGGUUUCAAGGCAGCAGAGCUACAUUGUUGUCCCCAUCACCCCAAGGCUGGUGCUGGGUAAGGUUGCUAAGCAGCCUGUAAGAAGGUGAAUGAUGGGUCUGGAGGUAAUGAUCUUGAAAGUCCGCGGAUUUUGCUAUACGAUCCAGAAGUAAACGUAGCCACUGAUAGGGACAGUGUUUUCAAGGCAGAACUACAUCACUAUUAAUACUUUAAGUGAUAAUGCAGAUACUGUAGGAUAUCCCCUGCCCCCAAGAGCCCAGUCAAGACUCUGCAAGAAAGUGGGUCUGUUUUGGGAGCUCGGACUUCUGUCACAACACCCUCUUAUCUG